rnacentral:rRNA from 1 species
GUAGGUGGCAAGCGUUGUCCGGAAUUAUUAGGCGUAAAGCGCGCGCAGGCGGUUCUUUAAGUCUGAUGUGAAAGCCCACGGGCUCAACCGUGGAGGGUCAUUGGAAACUGGAGAACUUGAGUACAGAAGAGGAAAGCGGAAUUCCACGUGUAGCGGUGAAAUGCGUAGAGAUGUGGAGGAACACCAGUGGCGAAGGCGGCUUUCUGGUCUGUAACUGACGCUGAGGCGCAAAAGCGUGGGGAGCAAACAGGAUUAGAUACCCUGGUAGUCCACGCCGUAAACGAUGAGUGCUAAGUGUUAGGGGGUUUCCGCCCCUUAGUGCUGCAGCUAACGCAUUAAGCACUCCGCCCGGGGAGUACGGCCGCAAAGGCUG